GAUGAACGCUAGCUACAGGCUUAACACAUGCAAGUCGAGGGGAAACGACAUCGAAAGCUUGCUUUUGAUGGGCGUCGACCGGCGCACGGGUGAGUAACGCGUAUCCAACCUGCCCACCACUUGGGGAUAACCUUGCGAACGUAAGACUAAUACCCAAUGAUAUCUCUAGAAGACAUCUGAAAGAGAUAAAAGAUUUAUCGGUGAUGGAUGGGGAUGCGUCUGAUUAGCUUGUUGGCGGGGUAACGGCCCACCAAGGCAACGAUCAGUAGGGGUUCUGAGAGGAAGGUCCCCCACAUUGGAACUGAGACACGGUCCAAACUCCUACGGGAGGCAGCAGUGAGGAAUAUUGGUCAAUGGACGAGAGUCUGAACCAGCCAAGUAGCGUGCAGGAUGACGGCCCUAUGGGUUGUAAACUGCUUUUAUAAGGGAAUAAAGUGAGUCUCGUGAGGCUUUUUGCAUGUACCUUAUGAUAAGGACCGGCUAAUUCCGUGCCAGCCGCCGCCGUAA
rnacentral:rRNA from 1 species